rnacentral:piRNA from 1 species
UGCAGAAGAACAGGCUCAAGAUGCUCACUUC